GGGGUUUCAAGGACGUAUCGUCGUUCACAUCCCCUGUGACAUACCACUUGUUGCCUCGGCGGAUCAGCCCGCUCCCGGUAAAACGGGACGGCCCGCCAGAGGACCCCUAAACUCUGUUUCUAUAUGUAACUUCUGAGUAAAACCAUAAAUAAAUCAAAACUUUCAACAACGGAUCUCUUGGUUCUGGCAUCGAUGAAGAACGCAGCAAAAUGCGAUAAGUAAUGUGAAUUGCAGAAUUCAGUGAAUCAUCGAAUCUUUGAACGCACAUUGCGCCCGCCAGUAUUCUGGCGGGCAUGCCUGUUCGAGCGUCAUUUCAACCCUCAAGCACAGCUUGGUGUUGGGACUCGCGUUAAUUCGCGUUCCUCAAAUUGAUUGGCGGUCACGUCGAGCUUCCAUAGCGUAGUAGUAAAACCCUCGUUACUGGUAAUCGUCGCGGCCACGCCGUUAAACCCCAACUUCUGAAUGUUGACCUCGGAUCAGGUAGGAAUACCCGCUGAACUUAAGCAUAUCAAUAAGCGGAGGAAAAUAACCGGAGGAAUUUAAACCCAAACCUGGUGAACAUACACUUGGUGCCUGGCGGAUAGCCGCUCUGUAAAACGGGACGCCGCUGAGGAACCUAAACUCUGUUUUCUUAUGUACUUCUGAGUUAAAACUAAAUAAAUCAAAACUUUACAAGGAAUCAU
rnacentral:rRNA from 1 species